rnacentral:lncRNA from 1 species
CAGGGUUUUUUUGCAUUAAUUCAUUUGGAUCCGGGUUUUACCUGGGUUUAACUCUAUCCGGAUCUUGGAUAAAAAAUUUUAGGAAGUUUGUAAUAAUUUUAAUCCCUUAUUUGGCCAAUCAUAAAUCGCAGAAUAAAUUUUGUUAAUAUUACCUAAACUAAUAGCCACAUUAAUCAUACCGUAAUAAAUUUUAUCUCUAAUUGAUUUCGAAUAUUUCCACAAUCUAAACUAAUUACUAUCACAUACCUUAUCUCAUCUAUUGUUCCUAAAAUCUUGCGUAAAUCUCGAUUUUAAAGAAACCAAUUACUCUAUAUAU